rnacentral:lncRNA from 1 species
AAAAGUGAAAAAACAGAUACCAUUAGACAAUAGCUAACUAGUACUUUCAAGUUCUUCACUUCAUCAUUCAAGUUCUUCACUUCAAAAUUCGAGUUCAAGCACGACAAAUGUUCUUCAACCAUUGGCCUCUCAAAAAAGUUUCCUCUGCCGGUUUCAUCUCUAUAGAUGGGAUUACACCAUGAGAAAAAUCUGCAUUCAUCCCUUUCACAAACAAAGUACAGCAUCCCUUUG